rnacentral:rRNA from 1 species
UACGGAGGGUGCGAGCGUUAAUCGGAAUUACUGGGCGUAAAGGGUGCGUAGGUUGUUUGAUAAGUUAGAUGUGAAAGUCCUGGGCUUAACCUGGGGACUGCAUCUAAGACUGUUAGACUUGAGUAUAGGAGAGGGUAGUGGAAUUUCCGGUGUAGCGGUGAAAUGCGUAGAGAUCGGAAGGAACACCAGUGGCGAAGGCGGCUACCUGGCCUGAUACUGACACUGAGGCACGAAAGCGUGGGGAGCAAACAGG